rnacentral:tRNA from 1 species
GGGCCCGUGGCGCAGCUGGAUAGCGCGUCGGCCUGCGGAGCCGGAGGUCCCGGGUUCGAAUCCCGGCGGGCCCA